AGGUGUUACGGCUCUUUCAGAAUUUGUCUAGCAUGUUUUCUGGUUUUCACUCCGAGAUGGGUUC